GAUGAACGCUGACAGAAUGCUUAACACAUCAGCAAUUGAUUGGUGGCGGACGGGGGAGUAACGCGUAAAGAACUUGCCUACCAGGUAGGGACAACAUUUGGAAACGAAUGCUAAUACCUAAUACUGUGAGAGAGCUUUGCGUCCCAUUAGCUAGUUGGAGAGGUAACGGCUCACAAAGGCGAGGAUGGGUAGCCGGCCUGGGAGGGUGAUCGGCCACAAGCGGCCUGAGACACGGCCCUUACUCCUACGGGAGGCAGCAGUGGGGAAUAUUGGCCAAUGGACCAAAGUCUGAUCAAGCAAUUCUGUGGGCACGAUGAAGUUUUCGGAAUGUAAAGUGCUUUCAGUUGGGAAGCGUUACCAACAGAAGAAGUGACGGCUAAAUACGUGCCAGCAGCCGCGGUAAUUC
rnacentral:rRNA from 1 species